GUCUCGAACCGCUCCAAUGGCCUAGUGGUUAGAGCGUCAGCCUCGGAUGCGAGAGAUCGCGGGUUUGAACCCCGGUCAAGUCA